rnacentral:tRNA from 1 species
GGGCCUGUAGGUAAACGGUAUACCGUACCCCUCGCACGGGUAAAUUGGCGGUCCAAUUCCGCCCAGGUCCACCA